ACUCAAAGGAAUAGACGGGGACCCGCACAAGCGGUGGAGCAUGUGGAUUAAUUCGAAGCAACGCGAAGAACCUUACCAAGGCUUGACAUCCCGCUGAAUACUGUAGAGAUAGAGUAGGCCCUUCGGGGACGGCGGAGACAGGUGGUGCAUGGUUGUCGUCAGCUCGUGUCGUGAGAUGUUGGGUUAAGUCCCGCAACGAGCGCAACCCCUAUCUUUAGUAGCGACCGCGUAGAGGCGAGCACAUUAGAGAGACUGCCGUGGAUAACACGGAGGAAGGUGGGGACGAUGUCAAAUCAUCAUGCCCCUUAUGUCUUGGGCAUCACACGUGCUACAAUGGCUCCAACAGAGUGAAGCGAGACCGCGAGGUGGAGCAAAUCACAAAAAGGGGUCCCAGUUCGGAUUGCAGCCUGCAACUCGGCUGCAUGAAGUCGGAAUCGCUAGUAAUCGCGAAUCAGCAUGUCGCGGUGAAUACGUUCCCGGGUCUUGUACACACCGCCCGU
rnacentral:rRNA from 1 species